rnacentral:tRNA from 1 species
GGUCCUGUGGUGUAGUUGGUUAUCACGUGAGCUUCACAGUUUGAAGAAUCCUUCAUACAGUACGCUCAAGGUCCUGAGUUCGAGCCUCGGCGGGAUCA